rnacentral:lncRNA from 1 species
GAGCCCAGGAGUUUGAGACCAGCUUGGGCAACAUAAUAAGACCCUCAUGUCUUAAAAAAAUAAAAAAAAUAAAAACUAAAAACUUUGUGUAUUAUAUAUGCUCAGUAAAUGAUAGUUCUCUUAUCUUUCCCACUAUUAUUGGUUUUAAAGAAUGGUGUAGACAGGUUUUCCUUAAAUGGCCUCUGUUGUUCUCCUUUCUCCCAAAAUAUUCAUUAUUAAUUUUGUCUAAUUUUCAUUAAGAAAUUUGUAGGUAUUGGAGUAAACCUUUGUUCACUUCUUUUUUUUUUUUU